AUAGAGACUCAGAGCUGCAUAUCAAUAAGCGGAGGAAAAGAAACUAACAAGGAUUCCCUUAGUAACGGCGAGUGAAGCGGGAAGAGCUCAAAUUUGAAAUCUUCAAGGUUCUACCUUGACGAAUUGUAGUUUAUAGAAGUGUUUUCUGUUAGUAGAGUGGCAAAAGUUCUUUGGAAUAGGACAUCAUAGAGGGUGAGAAUCCCGUAUUUGGUCAUUCUUCCUAGCUUUGUGAUACACUUUCAACGAGUCGGAUUGUUUGGGAAUGCAGUCCAAAAUGGGUGGUAAAUUUCAUCUAAAGCUAAAUAUUGGCGAGAGACCGAUAGCGAACAAGUACCGUGAGGGAAAGAUAAAAGAACUUUGAGAAGAGAGUUAAACAGUACGUGAAAUUGUCAAAAGGGAAGCGUUUGACACCAGUGUUGUUUUUCCGAAAAUCAAUUACGAAUGUUUUAUUUUUGAGGAGUUAUGACUUCAUCGGCUUGCUCCUUUCUUUAUGAAACUUUCUUAAUGCACUUUUCGGUUAACAAGUCAACAUCAAUUUCUUUUGUUGUAAAAGGGUAUGAGGAAGGUGGCUUUCUUUUCGGAGAAAGUGUUUAUAGCCUUGUGCCUCUGCAAUCGGAGAGAUUGAGGUCUGCAGCGUAGAUCCUUCGGGGUUAGAUACGUUUGUGCUAAGUUAUAGCUUUUCAGUAGACAACUUGUUGACUAUGUUAAGUCUUGUACUUACUCGCAUGACUGCUAUUUUACCUACGCUUAGGAUGUUGAGGAUAUGCGCGACACG
rnacentral:rRNA from 1 species